rnacentral:rRNA from 1 species
AUUGAACGCUGGCGGCAUGCCUUACACAUGCAAGUCGAACGGCAGCGGGGACUUCGGUCCGCCGGCGAGUGGCGAACGGGUGAGUAACGUAUCGGAACGUACCUUUCAGUGGGGGAUAACGUAGCGAAAGUUACGCUAAUACCGCAUAUUCUGUGAGCAGGAAAGCAGGGGAUCGCAAGACCUGGCGCUGAUCGAGCGGCCGAUAUCAGAUUAGCUAGUUGGUGAAGUAAAGGCUCACCAAGGCGACGAUCUGGAGCGGGUCUGAGAGGAUGAUCCGCCACACUGGAACUGAGACACGGUCCAGACUCCUACGGGAGGCAGCAGUGGGGAAUUUUAGACAAUGGGGGCAACCCUGAUCCAGCCAUGCCGCGUGAGUGAAGAAGGCCUUCGGGUUGUAAAGCUCUUUCGGCCGGGAAGAAAUCGUAUGGGUUAAUACCCUAUGCGGAUGACGGUACCGGCAUAAGAAGCACCGGCUAACUACGUGCCAGCAGCCGCGGUAAUAC